rnacentral:rRNA from 1 species
AUUGAACGCUGGCGGCAGGCCUAACACAUGCAAGUCGAGCGAGCGGCGGACGGGUGAGUAAUGCCUGGGAAUUGCCCAGUCGAGGGGGAUAACAGUUGGAAACGACUGCUAAUACCGCAUACGAUUGGAUUGCCCAGGUGGGAUUAGCUAGUUGGUGCGGUAAUGGCUCACCAAGGCGACGAUCCCUAUCUGGUCUGAGCGGGUGAUCAGACACACUGGAACGGAGACAGGGUCAAGAAUCCGACGGGAGGGAGCAGUGGGGAAUAGUGCAAAAUGGGGGAAACCCUGAUGCAGCCAUGCCGAGUGUGAGAAGAAGGCCUUCGGGUUGUAAAGCACUUACAGCGAGGAGGCGUUACUCGCAGAAGAAGCACCGGCUAACUCCGUGACAGCCGCCGCGGUAAUUC